GGCACCGGCGAACAUCACAUUGUUUCUAUUGCUCAGAGAGAACGCACGCGCGUUGAUUUAAAAACAAACAGAGUAAUUAUCGAUCGACAAAGAUGUAUACAAAUCCGUUUGAGAGAAAACACUCUGCAUUGAGGCAAGCGUUAGACAAGUUUAUCAGAGGAGAAACGAGAAUUAGCUUCAGGAAGAAGAGCAGUCUCUCGAAAAGCAUCAGCAGCAACUCAUCCAUGUCUUCUUCAAGUAGCAACGAGAGUAUCCUUAAGUUUUUUGGAAAACGAUGAAAAUUGUGUAUGGUGCAGUGUUUUGUGCUAAUUUGCAGUGGCCCGCUCAUAAAAAUGGUCGAGUCGGGUCAUUUGAACUGGUUACGUGACGUCAAUGCCAUGAGUAGCUCCACAUCUAUUCACAUCGGUGUUAUUAGUCGGCGUAUUAUAAAAACCGCUAUGUACUUUGGUUGAGAUGGGUAUCAAAUAAAUUAUUAAUACUGUGAUAA